rnacentral:tRNA from 1 species
AGUAUGAUAAGCUAAAUUAAGCUAUUGGGCCCAUACCCCAAAAAUGAAGGUUAAAAUCCCUCUCCUACUA